UACGAAGGGGGCUAGCGUUGCUCGGAAUCACUGGGCGUAAAGGGUGCGUAGGCGGGUCUUUAAGUCAGAGGUGAAAUCCUGGAGCUCAACUCCAGAACUGCCUUUGAUACUGAGGGUCUUGAGUAUGACAGAGGUGAGUGGAACUGCGAGUGUAGAGGUGAAAUUCGUAGAUAUCGGAAGGAACACCUGUGGCGAAAGCGGCUCACUGGACCAUUACUGACGCUGAUGCACGAAAGCUAGGGGAGCAAACAGG
rnacentral:rRNA from 1 species